CAUUAAAUAAUUUGAUAUUCUGAUUUUUUUUUUUCCUUCACUGGGGAGAAUCUUCAGCAAUAUUCUAUUUUACUGUGAACUGUAUUAUUACGAGACGCUUGAGGGAUUGCCUGCCGACUAUAAGGAUAGGUCGGUAGGAUGUUAACCGAGUCUNGAUCAAGCUUUUAUAGCUUGGUAUCCUAUUAUUAUUUACCAAAAGAAUUCAGUAUAAAAUAUUGUAACAUAGACCUAAAAAAUCUAUAAAAACAACUUUUAACAACGGAUCUCUUGGUUCUCGCAUCGAUGAAGAACGUAGCAAAGUGCGAUAACUAGUGUGAAUUGCAUAUUCAGUGAAUCAUCGAGUCUUUGAACGCAUCUUGCGCUCAUUGGUAUUCCAAUGAGCACCCCUGUUUCAGUAUCAGAAACCCCCCCCAACCAAAAUCUUUUUUUUUGGCUGGAACUGAGUGAUUUUACGGUCCUUUAUGGGACUGUUCGCUUUAAAAAUAUUAGGCCUGGAAUUUAGUAAUUUUCUGCUUGCCUGAACUUUUUUUUUAAUAUAAAGGAAAAGCUCUGGUUUAAACGGUUGAAAUCUAAAAGCUUUGGGGCCUCCCAAAUAAAACACUCUUAAA
rnacentral:misc_RNA from 1 species